rnacentral:rRNA from 1 species
CCUACGGGAGGCAGCAGUGAGGAAUAUUGGUCAAUGGGCGCAAGCCUGAACCAGCCAAGUCGCGUGAGGGAUGACGGUCCUAUGGAUUGUAAACCUCUUUUGUCGGGGAGCAAGGCCCGCCACGUGUGGCGGGAAGGAGAGUACCCGAAGAAAAAGCAUCGGCUAACUCCGUGCCAGCAGCCGCGGUAAUACGGAGGAUGCGAGCGUUAUCCGGAUUUAUUGGGUUUAAAGGGUGCGUAGGCGGAAGGUUAAGUCAGCGGUAAAAUGUCGGUGCGCAACACCGGCCUGCCGUUGAAACUGGUCUUCUUGAGUGAGCGAGAAGUAUGCGGAAUGCGGGGUGUAGCGGUGAAAUGCAUAGAUAUCACGAAGAACUCCGAUUGCGAAGGCAGCAUACCGGCGCUCAACUGACGCUGAGGCACGAAAGCGUGGGGAUCGAACAGGAUUAGAUACCCGGGUAGUC